rnacentral:tRNA from 1 species
GGACAUAUAGCUCAGUUGGUUAGAGCGUCACGUUGACAUCGUGAAAGUCACUGGUUCGAGUCCAGUUAUGUCCA